rnacentral:piRNA from 1 species
UGGUGCUGAUUCUAGCCUUGGUCCUAGC